UCACAGCUCUAUCCUCGCCACAAACAUC
rnacentral:piRNA from 1 species